rnacentral:misc_RNA from 1 species
GAUGAAGAACGCAGCGAAAUGUGAUAAGUAAUGUGAAUUGCAGAAUUCAGUGAAUCAUCGAAUCUUUGAACGCACAUUGCGCCCGCCAGCACUCUGGCGGGCAUGCCUGUUCGAGCGUCAUUUCAACCAUCAAGCCCCCAGGGGCUUGUGCUGGGGCCCUGCGGCUGCCCGCAGGCCCUGAAAACCAGUGGCGGGCUCGCUAGUCACACCGAGCGCAGUAGCACAUCUCGCUCAGGGCGUGCGGCGGGCUCCUGCCGUGAAACCCCCCACUGUAACCCCAAAGGUUGACCUCGGAUCAGGUAGGAAUACCCGCUGAACUUAAGCAUAUCAAUAAGCGGAGGA